GCAGACCCAGGCCUCCCACUCCACGGAGCAGCCUGCCCAUGGCCACCCAUGGACCAAUUGCAUGCACUUCUUCCCCUCUAAGACCCAUAAAAGCCCUGGGCUCAGUCAGACCACGGAACAGAGGGAGGAUGGGACAACCAGUUGUAGAGAGGAGCUACCUUCUCUGCUGAGAGCUGCAGACAAUGGGACAACCUGCUUGUAGAGUGGAGCCACUCACUUUAUGGCCUCCUCUCUGCUGAGAGCUGCAGACAAUGGGAUGACCUGCCCGCAGAGAGGAGCCACUUCCUCUCUGCCAAGAGCUGCAGAUGACAGGAUGACCAGCUGCAGAGAGGAGUUACCUUCUCUGCUGAUAGCAGGAGCUACCCUCUCUGCUGAGAACUGAACACUUGUUGGGACAACCUGCCUGCGGAGAGGAGCUAUCCUCUCCGCUAGGAGUUAAACACUCAUCAGGACAUCCUGGCCAUGGAGAGGAGCUGCUCACUGCGGGUCUUCUCUGAGCUGUUGUAUUGCUCAAUAAAGCUCCUCUCUG
rnacentral:lncRNA from 10 species